rnacentral:tRNA from 1 species
AACAAUUUCUCAGGCGGAGUGGUUAACGCGCUGCCCUGCUAAGGCAGUGCCUUCGGGCGCGUGAGUUCGAAUCUCACAGGUGUCG